UACAUUGAUUAAGAACAAAACAUGAUCUCUUACAUGAUAUUUUUAACAAAGGAUUGCAAUAGGCAGGCAGUGAUACCUCUACCAAUGAAGAGGGCACAUAAUUGGCACCAUUCUACAGCGUUUCAGGCAUGUUAUGAUCAUGAUUGCUGCCAUCCCAUGGCUUCCUGGGCAUCUGUUAGGAUCUCUCUGAAAUAGGAGGGUUAGCACUGGGUGUACAUUCCGGCUCCAGGAACACACCCUAAUGGAACGGAGAGGCCUCUUUGUUUGAUAUGGAGCCAUUCCCUCCAGAAGUCAUCUUAGAGAUUCAGAGUCCCAUAACCAAACACA